rnacentral:rRNA from 1 species
ACGGGUGAGUAAUAUAUAGGUAACGUACCCCUUGGAGCGGGAUAACAGUUGGAAACGACUGCUAAUACCGCAUACUCCUUUUGAUCAUAAGUGAUAAAGGGAAACGAAUUUUGCCAAGGGAUCGGCUUGUAUUGUAUCAGCUAGUUGGUGAGGUAAUGGCUCACCAAGGCUAUGACACAUAGCGGGUCUGAGAGGAUGAUCCGCCACACUGGUACUGAGACACGGACCAGACUCC